CAACAAUAACAUGCCAACCACGCAAUGAUAGCCAUGGUGUGUGGAAUAACCUUCUAAGCUGCAACCAAAAAGUAGCUGCCAAUACUGGUGCUGUCAUUGGGGGCAUUUUUGGCGGCUUAGCAGGUAUUAUGGUGAUCCUUUCACUUUUGCUGUGCAAACAAUCAAACAGGAACCAGAUCUUUAGAGUGAUCCACAAACAUCUUGAGCUGGGAGCGCGGCCCACAACUGGCACCGUUAUGGAGGACUUCAGUGGAAGUGACAAUAUUGAUAAACGUGGGAGCACUGCAACAUUGCUUACCGGUAUUGAUCCAUCUAAGGUGGCGACCAUGGCAACAAGCUGUGAGAGCACGGCCAAAGAGGUCUAGUAUGGUGACACGUCACUGUGGCUGUGGAAAAGGACAUUGAUUAGCUGUACACUGGUUGUACACUGGUACACUGCCAAAACUCUCCCCGAGCUGAAGAUAGUCACUAUGACCCAGUAUGAUGUGAGCACACCACAUUGCCAGUGUUUGAGAAGGAAAUGGAUUGAUACAAUUAUCAUGAUGGUGUCUACAACUGGAAGCAUCAACAUCAUUGCUAUCUCUGCAGCUCGCACAGCCUGAUGAAAAUCAACACGAUAGUUAUUGGUGGUUCAAAUUUGCUAAGUCAGCAUUUCAUCAAUGUUUCCAUGUAGAUUGUUCAUUUCGUGUUUUCUUUCCAUUUCUUCAUUUGAAGGUUAUCCGACUUUGCAUGUCUUUUUUUCCUCUCAAUUUAUCACUUUCCUGCAAGUGCGAUCUACUCGUAGAUUUUUGGUUAGGUGAUUUUCUGUGAGCAACUCCA